UACAGAGGGUGCAAGCGUUGUUCGGAAUUAUUGGGCGUAAAGGGCGCGUAGGCGGUGCGGUAAGUCUGCGGUGAAAUCGCCCGGCUCAACUGGGCGGGGUCAGCGGAUACGGCGCGGCUGGAGCAAGCUAGGGGGCAAUGGAAUUCCCGGUGUAGUGGUGGAAUGCGUAGAUAUCGGGAGGAACACCAGUGGCGAAGGCGGUUGCCUGGAGCUUUGCUGACGCUGAUGCGCGAAAGCGUGGGGAGCGAUCCGG
rnacentral:rRNA from 1 species